CACAGAGCAGAGCAGGAGGAGCAGCGAGAGGAGGCCGGGAGCGGAGUGUAUCGCUUUCCCUGUUCCUGAAAGGUCCUCUCUGGCCAAGUAGAGGGAGAGGAGCGCUUCUGAGGAAGCCAUCAUUGAAGAGAGUGAAAAGGUCACGAUUACGUGGACACCUCCGGGUUCACUGGCCCCACUUCUGCGCCCCUUCUCCAGGCGCCGACACCUCGCCGUCCUGGAGCCCUCGUUCUCGGAACCGGAACCGGAACUGGAUCACAGUGGGCAGCACAGCCACAGCGCCCAGAGCACCAGUCCUUGAGAGUUCAGACGCCCAAUUAGUGUCCUUAUAAAAUGGUGUCAGGGAACCUUCUCUAAAAUCCCGUAUAUCACCCUUAGGACACUGAAGUAUCCGUACGCCGAAUCAUCCAUCUUCCUGCAGAUCUCCUCUCCUCCCACUUACUUGGGCCUAAAGCGGCUGCUUGCAGUGAGAGAAGAGAAGCAGGAUCUUCCUUCCCUCGUUCUUGCUCUGCUCCUUCUCUUCUACAAGUUUGGCCGUUCCGUGGGCUCCUCGUAAAUUGCCUUCACUGGAAAAUUCCGAUUCUGCCCCACUGACAGCUGUGGCACCGGGCAGAAGCUACUUUUCUCCUAUGCAUCUGCAGUGUUUUCCUCCCAAGUCCAAGGAAGCUGAUAGCACCAGGGAGCCCUUUGUCUGUAACAUAAGCCGCUGUUUGUCCCAGGAAUUAGGCUUCAAAAGUUAUCAGAUGAGAUCUCCUCUGUAACUUCUUGCUGUUGGGAGACAAUCACCCACAAUCCCACAGAGAGAGGGAGAGAAAGAGAGCCACUGGCUCAGCUGUGAUCAGGUGUCAUUCAUCAUCACUUUCUACACAUACUGCAAGACAUGGGUUUUUACUCUACCUGGAGCUGACCUUACCUUCCUCCUGGCUCUGCUCAAGCCUUGCUUCCUCCAGAAAUCUCUUCCAAAGGAAUAUGACCCUCAUCGAUCAUGCCUCUGGGUCCGUGGGUGCUUUACUCAUGGCCUGAGCCAUUCAUUAUGGACCCUCAAUAUGGAGCUUAAUUAAAC
ensembl:lncRNA